CUUCUUAUAGCUCAGUCAGUAGAGCCUGAGACUCUUAAUCUCAAGGUUGUGGGUUCAAGACCCACAUUGGGUAAAAGGA